rnacentral:rRNA from 1 species
AUUGAACGCUGGCGGCAGGCUUAACACAUGCAAGUCGAACGAGUGGCGGACGGGUGAGUAAUGUCUGGGAAACUGCCUGAUGGUGGGGGAUAACUACUGGAAACGGUAGCUAAUACCGCAUACCAUCGGAUGUGCCCAGCUGGGAUUAGCUAGUUGGUGGGGUAAAGGCUCACCAAGGCGACGAUCCCUAGCUGGUCUGAGCGGAUGACCAGCCACACUGGAACUGGGAUACGGUCCAGACUCCUACGGGAGGCAGCAGUGGGGAAUAUUGCACAAUGGGCGAAAGCCUGAUGCAGCCAUGCCGCGUGUAUGAAGAAGGCCUUCGGGUUGUAAAGUACUUUCAGCUGGGAGGCGUUACCCGCAGAAGAAGCACCGGCUAACUCCGUGCCAGCAGCCGCGGUAAUUC